rnacentral:rRNA from 1 species
UGGGGAAUAUUGCACAAUGGGGGAAACCCCGUGAUGCAGCGACGCCGCGUGAGCGAUGAAGUAUUUCGGUAUGUAAAGCUCUAUCAGCAGGGAAGAAAAUGACGGUACCUGACUAAGAAGCCCCGGCUAACUACGUGCC